rnacentral:rRNA from 1 species
UACAGAGACUGCAAGCGUUAUUCGGAUUCACUGGGCGUAAAGAGUGCGCAGGCGGUUGGGUGUGUCAGAUGUGAAAUCCCGAGGCUUAACCUCGGAACUGCGUCUGAAACUACUCGACUAGAGUACUGGAGAGGGUAACGGAAUUCACGGUGUAGCAGUGAAAUGCGUAGAUAUCGUGAGGAACACCAGAGGCGAAGGCGGUUACCUGAACAGUUACUGACGCUCAGGCACGAAAGCAUGGGGAGCAAAAGGG